UGGGGAAUAUUGGACAAUGGGCGAAAGCCUGAUCCAGCCAUGCCGCGUGUGUGAAGAAGGUCUUCGGAUUGUAAAGCACUUUAAGUUGGGAGGAAGGGCAGUAAGCGAUUACCUUGCUGUUUUGACGUUACCGACAGAAUAAGCACCGGCUAACUCUGUGCCAGCAGCCGCGGUAAUACAGAGGGUGCAAGCGUUAAUCGGAAUUACUGGGCGUAAAGCGCGCGUAGGUGGUUCGUUAAGUUGAAUGUGAAAGCCCCGGGCUCAACCUGGGAACUGCAUCCAAAACUGGCGAGCUAGAGUAGGGCAGAGGGUGGUGGAAUUUCCUGUGUAGCGGUGAAAUGCGUAGAGAUAGGAAGGAACACCAGUGGCGAAGGCGACCACCUGGGCUCAUACUGACACUGAGGUGCGAAAGCGUGGGGAGCAAACAGG
rnacentral:rRNA from 1 species